GAUUAGUGGACUAAAUUGGACGAAAGAAAAGUUAGAAGUUAGAGGUUGAGGAGGUGGCAAACUCAAGGACUAAAGGAGACUUUUGUCUCAUUUAUCUAAGCCACUUGCAUAUGAGUUUAAACUCAGCAAGCUUAUCAUUUUCAGCUCCCAAAUUUCGUACUCCAUCCUUUCUCCAUGGAAGAUCAUCAACCAAAUUUCAAAGGAGCAUAACUUCUUCGUUUCUCAACGAAAUUGGACGAUUCUUGUGGCCACGGAACGAGAAGAAGGAGAGCUACUGAUCUAGCCCUAUUGUUCAAGGUGUUCUUGAGUUGAAUUGAAGCAAAGUUGAUGGUGAAUUUGAGCUUGAAGUGUUUGGCCAUGAUCAACAAUCCAAGACUCGACGAAGCGACUAUCGACAAGGCUUGAGGGGAACGGAUCGAGAUGUCUUCGUGUUUAUUUAAAGAUUAUGGAUAGCAAGUGGGAUAGCAUGAUAUGAUUUGAAAAGUCAAGCUUCCGAAGUUUUAAUUCUCGGAAGUCAUUUGCACAAGAAGUGAAAGAAGGUUUUCAUUCUAGCGGUCCGCAGUAGUCUAGAUGUUUUUGUCUAUGUAUUUGUACAAUGCGUUUUAACUCUGAUGUUUUUUGUAAAAUUGGGUCACAUGUAUUUUGAUAUAUAAAAUAUGAUAUGAUUUGCGAAAA